rnacentral:rRNA from 1 species
UACAGAGGGGGCAAGCGUUGUUCGGAAUUACUGGGCGUAAAGGGCGCGUAGGCGGCCUCUGCAAGUCGACUGUGAAAUCUCCGGGCUUAACCCGGAGCGGCCAAGUGAUACUGUCGUGCUAGAGUGCGGAAGGGGCUACUGGAAUUCUCGGUGUAGCGGUGAAAUGCGUAGAUAUCGAGAGGAACACCUGCGGCGAAGGCGGGUAGCUGGGCCGACACUGACGCUGAGGCGCGAAAGCCAGGGGAGCGAACGGG